AUUGAACGCUGGCGGCAGGCCUAACACAUGCAAGUCGAGCGAGCGGCGGACGGGUGAGUAAUGUCUGGGAAACUGCCUGAUGGAGGGGGAUAACUACUGGAAACGGUAGCUAAUACCGCAUACCAUCGGAUGUGCCCAGAUGGGAUUAGCUAGUAGCUGGGUGAAAGGCUCCCCUAGGCGACGAUCCCUAGCUGGUCUGAGAGGAUGACCAGCCACACUGGAACUGAGACACGGUCCAGACUCCAACGGGAGGCAGCAGUGGGGAAUAUUGCACAAUGGGAGCAAGCCUGAUACAGCCAUGCCGCGUGUAUGAAGAAGGCCUUCGGGUUGUAAAGUACUUUCAGCGGGGAGGCGUUACCCACAGAAGAAGCACCGGCUAACUCCGUGCCAGCAGCCGCGGUAAUUC
rnacentral:rRNA from 1 species